UCUUUGGGCAGUGUAAAGUGAAACGGAAGCUCUGAGCAGGAAAGAAAAAGAAAUCAGCUAGCUGGAUUUCCUGAACACAAGUCAUCUUCCUCAAAAACACCCUGGCUCUCGGACAGCUCCAAAAGACCAAACUGGGACAUCUCCUCUGUGAUCAGACCAACACAACUAUUCAUUUAUUCUGUCAAGUAUUUUAUCAGUAAAACACACUGUUGGUAGAAGACAUUAUUGUAAUAAAGCGUAUUAGCAUGGAGACACUAUUUCCUAAAUGUAGACAUUUACCAUUAUUCAAUAAUUCAGUAUAGCGUGAUAAUGAACAUGCACAUUAUUGAUAUUGAGGGCACUGUGAUAAUAAUACCAUGAAUAAUUGCCUUUUAGAGAGCUAUUCAAAUCAUCUGGUGAAAUGAUAUUCAUAUUGCAACAAAACAAAAAUAUCACAAUGUCAAAUCUUUCAAAUAUUGUGCGACCCUCCAAAUAAAAAGCUACUGGUCAGCCCA